rnacentral:rRNA from 1 species
CCUACGGGUGGCAGCAGUGAGGAAUAUUGGUCAAUGGGCGCGAGCCUGAACCAGCCAAGUAGCGUGAAGGAUGACUGCCCUACGGGUUGUAAACUUCUUUUAUAAAGGAAUAAAGUCAGGCACGUGUGCCUUUUUGUAUGUACUUUAUUAAUAAGGAUCGGCUAACUCCGUGCCAGCAGCCGCGGUAAUACGGAGGAUUCGAGCGUUAUCCGGAUUUAUUGGGUUUAAAGGGCGUGUAGAUGGGUUGUUAAGUCAGUUGUGAAUGUUUGCGGCUCAACCGUAAAAUUGCAAUUGAUACUGGCAGCCUUGAGUACAGUUGAGGUAGGCGGAAUUCGUGGUGUAGCGGUGAAAUGCUUAGAUAUCACGAAGAACUCCGAUUGCGAAGGCAGACUACUAAACUGCCACUGACAUUGAUGCUCGAAAGUGUGGGUAUCAAACAGGAUUAGAUACCCCUGUAGUC